rnacentral:rRNA from 1 species
AUACGGAGGGUGCAAGCGUUAAUCGGAAUUACUGGGCGUAAAGCGCGCGUAGGCGGCUUUGUAAGUCGGAUGUGAAAGCCCUGGGCUCAACCUGGGAAUUGCAUUCGAUACUGCAGAACUAGAGUAUGGUAGAGGGAAGUGGAAUUUCCGGUGUAGCGGUGAAAUGCGUAGAUAUCGGAAGGAACACCAGUGGCGAAGGCGACUUCCUGGGCCAAUACUGACGCUGAGGUGCGAAAGCGUGGGGAGCAAACAGGAUUAGAAACCCCAGUAGUCC